AAGGCUAAAUACAACCACAAGUCCGAUAGGAGACAAGUACCGAGAGGAAAAGUUGAAAAGAACUUUGAAGAGAGAGUUUAAGAGUUUGUGAAACCGUUAGAAGCUCAAACGGGUGGAACCGCGAAGGUCGAACAAAAGCACUCACCUCGUCGGGCGGGCGGGACCUGGGAUGCUCCGACAGGCGGGCGCCCAUGUCCAGUAGUGCGAGAGCAGGGGUGCCCUGUCCGUCACGUCCCGUUCCGGGGGGCGUACUUGUCCCUCAAGUAGGGAACACUGCGAGCCGUGGCGGGGACCAGAAUGCUCGCGUAGCUCUGAUUGGUACCCUCAGUCAGGAGGGGAAACUGCGGCUGGGAGUCGCUUGGUGGCCCUGACACGGCAAGGCCCAGGAAAAGGCAGACGGUGAUCCACCCAACCCUUCUUGAAACACGGACCAAGGAGUCUAACAAGUGGGCGAGUCUAAGGGCUCCGUCGAGACCCGGAGGCGCAGUGUAAGCGAGUGA
rnacentral:rRNA from 1 species